UUGAAAGCUUCUGUCUUUUUGUAGGAAUGAUCAGGACCUUAGCAGCUUGGGAAAAAGAAAAAGGUAAAAUACAUGUCAGCAUAUAUUCUCAAGAAUGUCCUAAUACUUCAUAUUCUAUGGCUGUGGGCAGCCAGGGUAGAAACUGGCUGUGUGAGAUGAAUAACUUUAGUCUCAUCUGCUUUGCUUUUCCAUUCCUUCCUUUCCAAGAAAGGAACUUUGUGAAGUAUCAGUCUCAAGUAUAGCUCCUUGAGGCACUUAAAACCAAGAGUAAAAGAGCUGCGAAAAGAAUGUUGUAGGGAAGAUUCAGUUACCUAUAAAAGAAUUAGUCAAACUUGUCAAACUCUGCUUUCUGUAACCAAAACUAAAAUUACAAUCCACUUGCACCAAGUCUUUGUUGUGUGUACUUCGGUGGUACUGACAAAUCUUUUCUUUGAGAUCUGUUUUGCCCUGUAAAUGUGCACGGAUUCUGUUAAUAGCAUCGAUAGUAAGUACAGUGUCAUCACCCCGUUAUGUGUAUAUAUGUGUUAUGAGUGAAGUUAAUCUUUCUGCAGAGUGCCUGUGGUAUAUCUGUGUUACUAAGCACAGCAGUUUGUAUUAUCAUUUUGUUUUCUUUCUUGCCCACAGUCAAGGCAUGGGCACAUUGAGUCACAGUGAUGGGAAGUAAGAGUGUCGCAUCAUUCAAGCACAACCUUUUGGACUCUCGAAGUUGGUUCCAGUCUCAUCAAGAAACAGGAACUCUUGUAAUUUGACAAGGCUUCCAAAAGCUCAUCACUUACUGUUAAGGGCAAUUUUUCGAGCACAGUGCUUGCUUUCCUGACUGAAGGAUAAUGAAAGGUAAUAGCCCAACCAUUUAGAAAAUAUCUGUUUCUUACCAGCCAUUUCUGCUUCUUAGCUGGCACAGACUUCUGGAUCUUAACUGUAAUAUUUUCAUGUUCAGAAAAAUCUGUGGCCAAGGAUGAAAAUUUUGAUUGUGCAAAAGAAAUUAGGAGUAAAGGGAAUUCCAUUUUUAAGAUGAAAGGAGGAACUGUUAAAAUGGUGGUCCUUACUGUAUACUCCUGUUCUUGUUUCUGCAAAACUUGUGAUCAAAUGCUUUGGGGAAGAGUCUGGGGCUGGAAGAGUUUGACCUUUAAUGCAUAUGUAAAUAAGACUUUCAGUCAUGUAUAAUCUCUCCCAUACAACAGACCUGUGACUGUCCAAAGGGACAGAAAGAUCACAUGAGUCUUUAUUAUAUAUCUCAAAAAAUCACAAAUCAUUCCUGUCACUGUGCAGAGUGCUGCUAAUGAACAAAUUUCAUUCCCAAAGUAGUAUCUGUGAUGGAUGUGAGGUUGUAAGGAGUCCAGUAAGUAAAGUAAAACAAGGUUACUCUAAUCUCCUCCAUAAAGCUGACAGGAAAAGAAACCAUGUAUUUAAAGUGAAAGUAGACAAAGUAGGUAACAGGCCUCUUGUAUUUCACACAUUCAUUUGUUAAUUCCAAAGUUUCUUCUUGAAUUUUAGGAGACAAAGCAAUAUCAUGAGCUAAAGUUCAAUGUAAACCAAAGCCUGAUGUAACAUGGAAAAGAGAAAGCGGAUACCAGUGGAAUGUAUUUUAAGAAGUAUGUGCCAAGAUGAUACAGAUAACUACAAUCGUGUUGUAUUCACCGAUGCCAUCUACACUGUCCCCUUGAUCAUAACUAAAGGUGGGCCCCUAACUCCUGACAGAACUGAAACCACUUAAAGACAGCAGCGUUUGAAAACCCCCUGCCAAAUAAAGUGCAAAACUUCACUUAGAAUUUCAGCAGGAAAGAGUUGAAGUUUGACGAUAAAUGUGAAAUUAUCACAUCUGAUGAUGGCUUGACCCACACUGCGAAAACUAAGAGUUUUCAGCUCAGUGACUUUGAAGAAUCCAGUGUUGAGACUGGAGAUCUAGUGCUGAACACUCUGCUCUUCAUAAAUAAUGCAAAUUAAGUAUCUUUGGGCAGUUAGUGGAUCAAACACAAGAUAGUGGAUUUGAGCUGCAAAAUCCAUAAGGCUAAAAUGCAAAACCUCAGAGACUGGGCUGAGAAAACUGGAAGCCCCAGUCUCAUAAAGCUAGUAUUUGGACUAGCAAGCAGAGGAGCAUCAGGACCUUUUCACACUGGAAGUCCCGAGCCUAGAAUAUCUGCUGCACAGAAGCCUAUGUUAUAACUUGCAAAAGCCAAUCCAUUUAUUUUGAUCUAUGAAGAGCUUACUGGUAUGUGCCGUUUUAUUCUUGACAGCCCCUUGCCCUUUUCCAGGGGUUCUAAUUCAGUUUGUCAGUAAUCUUAAGAACACCCAAGCAAAAAAGAAGGGAGAAGCCUGGCUGGAGUGUGUACCGGCUUCUGAAGAUGUCAGCCUGAAGAGGAUGAAGAACAGACGAGUGAUUGAAAGGUCUCCAAAGUACACCAUUGAAGUAUGAAGAGAAGAGAAAACAGUUUAUCAUUAAUCUGCUGAGCCGAGUGACUCAGGAGAUUAGCACAGAGGUCAUAGGCUAUGCAAGACAGUAACCCUGAUGAGCAGUGCCAGUGUAACUGUG